rnacentral:piRNA from 1 species
UAGACAGUGAGUGUCUGCGGGGAACAUGA